rnacentral:rRNA from 1 species
GACGAACGCUGGCGGCGUGCCUAAUACAUGCAAGUAGAACGCUGAAGGAGGAGCUUGCUUCUCUGGAUGAGUUGCGAACGGGUGAGUAACGCGUAGGUAACCUGCCUGGUAGCGGGGGAUAACUAUUGGAAACGAUAGCUAAUACCGCAUAACAGUAGAUAUCGCAUGAUAUCUACUUGAAAGGUGCAAUUGCAUCACUACCAGAUGGACCUGCGUUGUAUUAGCUAGUUGGUGAGGUAACGGCUCACCAAGGCGACGAUACAUAGCCGACCUGAGAGGGUGAUCGGCCACACUGGGACUGAGACACGGCCCAGACUCCUACGGGAGGCAGCAGUAGGGAAUCUUCGGCAAUGGACGGAAGUCUGAACGAGCAACGCCGCGUGAGUGAAGAAGGUUUUCGGAUCGUAAAGCUCUGUUGUAAGAGAAGAACGAGUGUGAGAGUGGAAAGUUCACACUGUGACGGUAUCUUACCAGAAAGGGACGGCUAACUACGUG